CAAUAGCGUAUAUUAAAGUUGUUGCAGUUAAAAAGCUCGUAGUUGGAUUUCUGGUCGGAAGCUCCUGUCCUCUGAUGAGCGUACAAGUGCGUCCUACCAUCCUUCUGUUAACCUUUAAGGCUUUCGCGGCUUUCUAGGGGCUCAGAUAUUUUACCUUGAGAAAAUUAGAGUGUUUCAGGCAGGCUAGCGCCGGAAUACAUUAGCAUGGAAUAAUGGAAUAGGACUUUUGCCUCUUCUGUUGGUCAUGAGGCUCGAGUAAUGAUUAAUAGGGAUAGUUGGGGGCAUUAGUACUUAACUGUCAGAGGUGAAAUUCCCGGAUUUGUUAAAGACUAACUUAUGCGAAAGCAUUUGCCAAGGAUGUUUUCAUUAA
rnacentral:rRNA from 1 species